GUAUUUCCGCCGGCGCGAAACGAGUGUAGCUUGUUUGUCGUGUGGCCUCAGUCUUUCGCCGUCCCUCGCUGUUCCUCACCAUCGCACGCCAUCGCACGCCACCGCACCCCAUCUCUCGAAAUCUGCAGACAUCUUUAUUUUUCCCACGCUGUCUGUCAGGUCUCCGCCGCCACUUGACGCCAGGGCGCCGGGUGAGUCCACAGCAGGGCGCGUGGUCUGCUCCACUCUCACCAUCAGGGGAAACUGAGGCCCCGGGGAAGGCGGCCAGAGAGGUCAGGCCCGGUCCCUGGUGCAAUGCCUCGUCCCCUCUGCCGGAGUGAGCCCCCCAGGAUUCACGUGCCCUCGGGAAAGACACUGGCGGGCCUUGUGAGCUGUGCUGCUCCUCGGACGGCUUCGCACCAGCCAGCGCCCCCUCUCUCCUGCAGCACUCUGAUCUGCCCCCCCCCGAGGGGCUUCCACUGUCCGCGGGGUGAGAAUGCCCCUGGGAGUGUCACAUGACUGCCGCCCCAUGUGUGUGAGAGGUGUCCUCUGGGAGAGCAUGGAUUCUGAGGUCCCAGGAUUGUCAGUUGACCUCUGUCCUGUGUGCCCAGUGGCCCCAGGUGACGUGUCUUCAAGAAGAGGCUGAGCCGUGGUGCUUGUAAGGGUCUCACUCUGUCACCCAGGCUGGAGUGCAGUGGUGCACUGAUGGCUCACUGCAGCCUCGACCUGGGCUCAAGUGAUUCCUCCACCUCAGCUGCCCGAGCAGCUGGGACCGCAGAGUCAUGUGCUAUUCCUGGGGCUUGGAUGAUGUAGGGGAAGCAAGGUGAAAGUGGUAUCCCAUGGUUCCCCGUUCUGUCCUGCUGUGGGGCUGUCCCUCACAUGCCUUCAGUGGCUGUUGCAGAGGAAGAGCCUCCGGAAAUCUGCAUGGGUCUCAGCCUUAGAUCCAAGGACAGUCCAAGGAGUCCUAAGACCGUGGAGUUGGUGACCUGGGAUCUGGGUUUGCUGAUUUUUCUCACCAUGAAUCUCUUGGUGGUGUUUGUGGGCACCAGAGGGGCAGAGAAUAGAGAGUGAGGCUACCACAUGAAGCGUCACCAGAGCUGCUCCCUGCUGCCUGCUCAGAGCACCCCGGAUCCACUGUUCAAUCUGCACAAAAUUCGGGGUCCAGACAUGGGAGACUUCAGCUGCCUCGGAGGACCGUGGACAGGGAAGGCCAGCCUCGCAUCCCUCUGUCCAUGCCUGGAAUGACUUAACCAAGCGUUUUAUUCUUGAAUUUGUAGCUGUUGUUCACUUUUUGCCCACCCACUCAAUAAACCUUACAGAAUUGCUC